rnacentral:lncRNA from 1 species
GUAUUACCACUUAACCAAUAGUGACCACAUUAAUACUUAUGCUGGUGAAUGCCAUGGGCAGGGCUUAGGGCACUCCAGUCAGUGAACUCAGCACAGGCGUCUUGCUCUGAACACAUGCAGGCCUGGGCACAGCCGAAGUGGGGCCCAGGAGAAAGCUGGUCGUGAUGUGCUAAAGCCCCUUUGCUUUCCCAGAGAAGGAUCUGCAAGCAGGGUCUUUGCUGGUAACCAAGCGGAGCAUUGUCCCCCUAGAGAAACUCCCUGAUUGAGGGGCCAUGGCACGCCCCUGCUCUUCUGUGGCCUUCUGUGUCCUCAUCUGUAUUUGGGGCUCCCACUACGUCUCUCAGGAUUGGUGACAAGAUUAAAUGAGAGUAUAUGAGACUUGGCGUACUUUCCCCCAGGGAUUCCAUAAAGCAGUCCCAUUGGAAGCUCUUGCAUUUGGAGAUUUCCAGUGAUGUUUCUACUUCAUCAUUCACAUCCCUUCCUGGAAACAUGGAUGUGGUGGCACUGGACCAGGAGUGUGCCUACGCUGGGCAUGAAGCCAAGUCCAGAAGUUGGCAUCCAAGAUCAGAAGACAUGACCAGUGCAUUGAUCUGGAAUGCCUGGCCAAGAGCCUGAACUCAGAACCCAGCAGCAGAAUGGACAGUAGUCUCAAGAGCCAACAUGGGGAGGUUCAAGAUGAGGGCAGGAGGGGUAUCCUGGGCACUUGUAUAGGGCAGCCACUGUCUUGCCCAAGGAAGAGAAGGAGGCUGUGUUUGGUACCAGGUGAGUGGGAAACGCCAGUGUGUGCAUGACCCAUGAUAAUUCCUCCACCAAGAUUGUCAAUUGGUAAUAAAUCUGGGGAGAUUUUGCUGAGAAAAGUGGCCAGAGAGAGCAAAGGCAAGAAUGUUAGAGAUUCUUAGGUUUUAGUAGAAAGAGCAUAGUUUGAAGCCAGAUGACCUUGCGUUUAAAUCUCUGAUUUGACUUUGAUGAAUGACACAGUCUUGAUUAUGGUCACUGUAAGUAAUCUGUUCGACGGGCACGAUAACACCUACUACAAGUUUUUGUAAAACUUAUGUGAGCCAAGUGUAGAAAAUGCCCAGAAGAGGGGCUGGCUCGUACUAGGUGGCCCAUAAGUGUUCAUUCCCUGACAUUCACCUUCUCCCUUUCCCCUUAAAAGCAAUGGAAGCCUGGCUGAAGACUGGGGCAGGAGGGUUGGGAGUGAAUUUGGAGGCAGAGAGAGUCUCUGAGACUCUGUCAUUGGGGACUGACAUCCAAGCUGGUGUAAUUCAAGAAGUGCCAGGAGACCCCACCCACUCAGGAAAUCCCCACCAGCCAGAUGGUGACUUGUGGGGUGUAACUUAAUAACCUCCUGGAUUAAGGGCCUUAACAAUGAUUGGUGGCUGUAGGAUGGUUGGGGGGUCCGCAGAUUUAGCCACUGUGUGCAGAGAAGCACACACAGAUAGAGCUCUCAGGGCAAGCUCGGCGGGCCAGGUCGAGAAGGCUGAUCCUUGGAGUUUUCCUGCUGUUGUGGAGUGUGGAGCCCUGGGCUUUGCCAGGACAGAUGGCAGGCAAAUAUAAUUUCUGACCUACGUAAUGAUGUAUGCACAAGAAGCCUCUCUUGAAUGUAUUAAUUCAGUAAACAGUUAUGGAGUCCUUACAAUGUGCUAGUGGGACUUUGAAGAUGAAUCCAAAUUUGGAUCCUGGCCUGGAAAGGCUCAAAGCCCAAUAUGGGAGAUUCUAGCAAGACCUUGUUUAUGUUGGAAACUGUUAGCAGACGCCGAAGCUGUCCGGGGCUGAGUGAGUACCACGUUACUCAGGCUUCACUGCGCUGAAGGAAGAGGUUGAGAUGAGGGCAGUCACUCACCUGUGAUGAAGACCCACUCUGCAGCUUCAUUUCCUGUCAUUACAGACAGUGCCUGGGCCCAAUCAGGAGGGGCUUAUGGGGAAUGGGGGGCAGGUGGCACUGGGGUGUCUAGGGAGAGCAAAUACAAAUUGGAUACCACCUAGAGGUCGCGAAAUGGAGAAUAAGUUUCUAAGAACAGCUAAAAAAUGAAAGAGACAUGACAACCAAAUGCAACAUGUGACCCUUGAUAGGCCCUUAGACUUUUUUUAAAAAAAAGCUAUAAAGAACAUUAUUGGGACCACUGUGUCAAUUUGAAUAUGAUUGCAUGUUAUAUGAUAUUAUUGCAUUAAUAUUAAACUUCUUAAGUAUGAAAUUGGUGUGGUGGUUAUGUAAGAGGAUUCUUUAAUUUUGGAGAAAUACCUGCUAUUAUAGUAUCUGCAGCUUUUAUAUGCUAUGUGUGUGUGCAUAUAUAUCUAUAUCUAUAUAUAAUAUGUACUUACAGAGAGAGAUGAAGCAAAUGUCAUAAAAUAUUAACAGUUGGUGAAUGUGGGUGAAACUUGUAUGGUGUUCCUUGUGCUAUUCUUUCUAAUCUUCCGUAAGUCUGAAGUCUUUUAAAAUAAAAAGUAUGGGAAAAUGGCCCCAAAGUCAGCUAUGUGCCAUGGCAUAGCUUCCCUAUCCUACAAUCCUUCUGGGUUUAUUCAUCCCAUAGGUUAAGGCAGACACACUCCUGUUAUACUUUGGGCUCAUCUCCUUAUUUGCUCUGUUCUCUCUGCAGACAGAGUCAGCAACCUCCUUAUAAUUGUGUGGCUUGAUGAUGUGAGGAACAUCAGAGUUAUCCCUAAAACUCAUUUAUAUGUGUCUUGGGCUACUCCUCCUCAGCACCCAAGUAACAGCCAUUUUUGAGUGACGGCAACAGUGUCGGCAAAAGCAAACAUUUAUUGAAUAUUCACUGUGUGCCAGAUAUUUUAUCUGUAUCAGUUCACCUGAUUCUCAUAAACAAACCUCGGUUAGGUUCUCUUAUCACCCUGUUUUAUAUAUGAGGCGAUGAGGCUCCUACUGCUGACAAGCAGUGGAGUCAGAAUUUGAAGAAUCUAGGGCCAGUGACUCUAAAACCUGCAUUCCUGACCACGGUUGAGCAUGUCUCGGCCUGCAGCUGCAUUGCAACUACCUAGAGAACAUUUGCAAAAUUUACACGUGCAGGCACUGCUCCCAGGAGUAUGGAGUUAUGCAGUGGGGCUCAGACAUCUGUUGCAUACAAAGGUUUGGCUGUUUGGCUUCAGUCUCCCUUGUCUCCCUCAGCCUUGGCUGACUCAGAAAUUGGAAUGAGUUGUCUGUGGAUCCUGUAAGGAGCCUGGACAUGGUGAAGAGAAUGCCUUGACCAUCAGGAGACAGCUUAGCUUGUUGAAUCUUGAUCACUUCUUCUGACCGCUUUGGAUCUUAAAAGAACAAGGGAUGAUGGUGACUUAUGGUGACAACCAAGAACAGGCUUCAGAAAGAAAGCAGCUGUGUAGCUAUGGCCAAAUUGAACUUCUUGAGUCGGUGUCCUCGCUUGUAAAAUGGACAAUUCUACUGAAGGAAAUUGAAGGUCUUACCGACUCCAUCCAAGGAAUUGACAAGAGAUCCCCAAGAAGGUUGCAUAGAGCGAGUGAGAACACUGUCUUGAACUGCUGGGGCAUCUGCCUAAGAAUGAAAGCAAAGAACAGAGGAAAGCAGACCUAGGAGAAGGAGGGAAAGACAACGUCCCAGUAAUAACAUUCAAGCUUCUGGAUCCAACCAUGUUUGCUGCCGGACAUUAGUCCUGGUACUUCUUGUUACAUGAUCCAGUGAAUGGCUCCUCGUGCCCUCCUCUCCCCAUAUGUUUCCUCCUUUUUUUGCUUAAGGUAGUUUGAGGUAGAUUUCCAUUGUCUGCAAGUACAGAAAGAUUUGUGGAGUAGAUAGCACCUCAGCUGCAUCUUGAAGGAUGAAUAGGAAAUUCUCAGGAGAAAUAGGGAUGGAACUGAGGUGAGUAAGACUUUUCGGGCAGAAGGAACAUAUAAACAGCUUAGGGAGAAAUAUUCUAAGUGAAAUAUUUAUAUAAAAUAACUAUACAAUGGGCAUUUCCAUGGGCUCAGGCUUCUCACUUAGAAAAAUACUCUUGGCUCUCUAUAGCUGUGAGUUCCACGUCUGUGGAUUCAAACAACUGAGGAUUGAAAUAUUGGGGGAAAAAGGAUGGUUGUGUAUGUACUGAAUAUUUGUGGAUUUUUUGUCCUUGUCAUUGUCCCCAAACAAUACAGUAUAGCAACUGUUUACAUAGCAUUGAUACUGCAUUGGGUAUAAGUAAUCUAGAGAUGAUUUAAAGUAUGCAGGAGGAUGUGCACAGGUUAUAUGCAAAUCUAUGCUUUUUAAAAUUAUACUUUAAGUUCUGGGGUACAUGUGCAGAACGUUCAGGUUUGUUACAUAGGUAUACACGUGCUAUGGUGGUUUGCUGCACCCAUCAACCCGUCAUCUACCUUGGUAUUUCUCCUAAUGCUCUCCCUCCCCUAGCUCCCCACCCCCCGACAGGCCCCGGUGUGUGAUGUCCCCCUCCCUGUGUCUAUGUGUUCUCUUUGUUCAACUCCCACUUAUGAGUGAGAACAUGCAGUGUUUGGUUUUCUGUUCUUGCGUUAGUUUGCUGAGAGUGAUGGUUUCCAGCUCCAUCCAUCUCCCUGUAAAGGACAUGAACUCAUCCUUUUUUAUGGCUGCAUAAUACUAUGCUAUUUUAUAUCAGGGACUUGAGCAGCUGUGGAGUCUGGUAUCCAUGGCAGGGUCCUGGAACCAAUUCCCAGUGGAUACUGAGGGAUGACUGUACAGCUAUAGAGUGGCCAACAUUCAUUUGUAAACAGUACCCAC